CCCUUAGAUGUUCUGGGCUGCACACGUGCUACACUGGCAGGUUCAGCGAGCUUCAUGCCCUGAUCUGAAAGGAAUGGGAAAUCUUUUCAAAACCUGCCGUGCUUGGGAUAGAUGUUUGCAAUUAUUCAUCUUCAACGAGGAUUGCCUUGUAAGCGCACGUCAUCAGCGUGCAUUGAAUACGACCCUGUAUUCUGUACACACCGCCCGUCGCUCCUACCGAUUGACGUUUUCGGUGAGUUGACAGGAGGAUUUUUUUGAAACUGGUUCGCCAGUGGAUUUUAGAUCCAAAUGCCAACGAAUCGAUGGCUUUAGAGGAAGGAGAAGUCGUAACA
rnacentral:rRNA from 1 species